CAAGUGAGAAUGCCGGUAUAAGUAACGAAAAGACAAGUGAGAAUCUUGUCCGCCGAAAGCCUAAGGGUUCCUGGGGAAGGCUCGUCCGCCCAGGGUAAGUCGGGACCUAAGGCGAGGCCGAAAGGCGUAGUCGAAGGACAACAGGUUGAUAUUCCUGUACCACCGUAAACCGUUAUGAGCAAUGGAGUGACGCAGAAGGAUAGUAACGCGGCCUGAUGGAAUAGGCCGUCCAAGCAGUGAGGCUGAUGUGUAGGCAAAUCCGCACAUCGUAAGGCUGGGCUGUGAUGGGGAGGGAAAAUUACAGUACCGAAGGUUAUGUGUUCCCGCUGCCAAGAAAAGCUUCUAGCCAGGUGAAGGUGCCCGUACCGCAAACCGACACAGGUAGGCGAGCAGAGCAUGCUAAGGCGCGCGGAAGAACUCUCGUUAAGGAACUCGGCAAAAUGACCCCGUAACUUCGGGAGAAGGGGUGCCUCGGUAGGGUGAAUAGCCCGAGGGGGCCGCAGUGAAAAGGCCCAAGCGACUGUUUAGCAAAAACACAGGUCUGUGCGAAGCCGCAAGGCGAAGUAUACGGGCUGACGCCUGCCCGGUGCUGGAAGGUUAAGGGGAGUGGUUAGCCGCAAGGCGAAGCUAUGAACCGAAGCCCCAGUAAACGGCGGCCGUAACUAUAACGGUCCUAAGGUAGCGAAAUUCCUUGUCAGGUAAAUUCUGACCCGCACGAAUGGCGUAACGACUUGGGCGCUGUCUCAACGAGAGAUCCGGUGAAAUUUUAAUACCUGUGAAGAUGCAGGUUACCCGCGACAAGACGGAAAGACCCCAUGGAGCUUUACUGCAGCUUGAUAUUGGACUUUGGUACGAUCUGUACAGGAUAGGUGGGAGCCUAAGAAGCCUGAGCGCCAGCUUAGGUGGAGGCGCCGUUGGGAUACCACCCUGAUCGUAUCGGAGUUCUAACCUGCCACCCUGAAUCGGGUGGAGGGACCGUGUCAGGUGGGCAGUUUGACUGGGGCGGUCGCCUCCUAAAAUGUAACGGAGGCGCCCAAAGGUUCCCUCAGAAUGGUUGGAAAUCAUUCGGAGAGUGCAAAGGCAUAAGGGAGCUUGACUGCGAGACCAACAAGUCGAGCAGGGACGAAAGUCGGGCUUAGUGAUCCGGUGGUACCGAAUGGAAGGGCCAUCGCUCAACGGAUAAAAGCUACCCUGGGGAUAACAGGCUUAUCUCCCCCAAGAGUCCACAUCGACGGGGAGGUUUGGCACCUCGAUGUCGGCUCAUCGCAUCCUGGGGCUGAAGUAGGUCCCAAGGGUUGGGCUGUUCGCCCAUUAAAGCGGUACGCGAGCUGGGUUCAGAACGUCGUGAGACAGUUCGGUCCCUAUCUGUCGUGGGCGUAGGAAAUUUGAGGAGAGCUGUCCUUAGUACGAGAGGACCGGGAUGGACGCACCGCUGGUGUACCAGUUGUUCCGCCAGGAGCACCGCUGGGUAGCCAAGUGCGGACGGGAUAAGCGCUGAAAGCAUCUAAGCGCGAAGCCCCCUCCAAGAUGAGAUUUCCCAGUAAAGUAAGACCCCUGGAAGACGACCAGGUUGAUAGGCUCGGGGUGGAAGCGCAGCAAUGCGUGCAGCUGACGAGUACUAAUAGGUCGAGGGCUUAUCCUAA
rnacentral:rRNA from 1 species